UACGAAGGGGGGCUAGCGUUGCUCGGAAUGACUGGGCGUAAAGGGCGCGUAGGCGGUGAACACAGUCAGACGUGAAAUCCCCCGGCUUAACCUGGGAACUGCGUCUGAUACUGGGAGGCUAGAGUGCGGGAGAGGGAUGCGGAAUUCCAGGUGUAGCGGUGAAAUGCGUAGAUAUCUGGAGGAACACCGGUGGCGAAGGCGGCAUCCUGGACCGACACUGACGCUGAGGCGCGAAAGCUAGGGUAGCAAACGGG
rnacentral:rRNA from 1 species